AUCCUGGCUCAGAUUGAACGCUGGCGGCAUGCCUUACACAUGCAAGUCGAACGGUAACAGGUUAAGCUGACGAGUGGCGAACGGGUGAGUAAUAUAUCGGAACGUGCCCAGUCGUGGGGGAUAACUGCUCGAAAGAGCAGCUAAUACCGCAUACGACCUGAGGGUGAAAGCGGGGGAUCGCAAGACCUCGCGCGAUUGGAGCGGCCGAUAUCAGAUUAGGUAGUUGGUGGGGUAAAGGCCCACCAAGCCAACGAUCUGUAGCUGGUCUGAGAGGACGACCAGCCACACUGGGACUGAGACACGGCCCAGACUCCUACGGGAGGCAGCAGUGGGGAAUUUUGGACAAUGGGCGCAAGCCUGAUCCAGCCAUGCCGCGUGCGGGAAGAAGGCCUUCGGGUUGUAAACCGCUUUUGUCAGGGAAGAAAAGGUUCUGGUUAAUACCUGGGACUCAUGACGGUACCUGAAGAAUAAGCACCGGCUAACUACGUGCCAGCAGCCGCGGUAAU
rnacentral:rRNA from 1 species